GCACGAUUACUCACAUCCAAACUCUCUAGCAUUCAUACUUAGCUCACAAAAGACAUAGCAUACUAACUUAAGCAUCAGAGCGACCUCACCGGGUCUGCCACCCCGAUCUCUCUAAGCAUUGUUUUGCAAAUUGAUUCAGCUCACCACGCAAAUACGACCAGGUGAUUCUCCGGCCAGGAGCUUCCAGAUCGCGCACUAUCACACUUCACACCCCUUUGGCCCAUUAUUUGCUCGCCCAUUGAUAAUUCUUCGGUUUUGUUCUUCAAAUCCUAAUAAAGCAUCAGAGGCGGCAAUGGGAUGAAUUCAAAUCCACCACCAAUACAUCUCUUUUUUAAUCUUCCGCUUAAUUCCAAAAACCGAUUUAUUCAUAGGCAACAACACCAUGUCCUACACUCGUACUCGCAAGUACGGAUUCAAUUUCUCUCCUGAUUCUCCUUUGCAUAGUCCAAAACUAGGGUACCUCUUUCUUGCAUGUUCAAUCAUCUUGAAUCUUUCAAAACUUUCUAUUAUCUCUAACCAAGUGACCAAACUAUUUAUUAAAGACUUGAACUCAAAGAACUUCAGUUGAAUAGAUUCGGUGUUGGUAUAUGGCAAAAGCCAAACUCGAGCCCGGCCACUCUCAUUCGCAUAGCAUCAUCAACGCUGAGAACUUCUGUGAAUAGUGAUUACGAGAAGUAGGACCUACUUCUCCAGGACUAUAUGUUUGAGGAAAGCGUAUGCCUAUUUCUUAGAUCCACCUGGUUACGCCGUUGACAGUCAAUGGUGUUUGCAAUCUUCUUGGACCUCCAAUUUGUCAACGGUGUGAAGCAGAUUGCUCUAAGUAGUACAUAAUGGCUAUAUUCAGGCAGAACGUAAAGAAGCAGGGCCUGUAACUCCAAAGAACUUCCACGGCAAUGGGGCUGAUGCAUCACGUAUGCCUAAGAAGAAAGGCACAGCCAAAGAUGCAACUGGGCAACACGCAAAAUGGGCCUUGAAGCGCAAAGCUGCAAACAAGGCAGCAGCCAAAAAAAACAUCAGCAGC